GAUGAACGCUGGCGGCGUGCUUAACACAUGCAAGUCGAACGAAGCACUCAGGAGCGAUUUCGGUCAAUCCUGUUUGACUGAGUGGCGGACGGGUGAGUAACGCGUGAGGAACCUGCCUUGCAGUGGGGAAUAACAGUUGGAAACGACUGCUAAUACCGCAUAAUGCAGAGAGACCGCAUGAUCUUUCUGCCAAAGAUUUAUCGCUGUAAGAUGGCCUCGCGUCUGAUUAGCUAGUUGGUGGGGUAACGGCCUACCAAGGCGACGAUCAGUAGCCGGACUGAGAGGUUGACCGGCCACAUUGGGACUGAGACACGGCCCAGACUCCUACGGGAGGCAGCAGUGGGGAAUAUUGGGCAAUGGGCGCAAGCCUGACCCAGCAACGCCGCGUGAAGGAAGAAGGCUUUCGGGUUGUAAACUUCUUUUAAGUGGGACGAUAAUGACGGUACCACUUGAAUAAGCUCCGGCUAACUACGUG
rnacentral:rRNA from 1 species